rnacentral:rRNA from 1 species
UUCCAGCUCUAUUAGCGUAUAUUAAUGUUGUUGCAGUUAAAAAGCUCGUAGUUGGAUUUUGGAGUUUGACAAGUGGUCUGCCUAAGGUGUGUACUGCUUGUCGGCUCUUCUUUUCUGGGGACCACGCUGCUCUUUAUUGAGGGGUGCUGGGAAUCAGAUCUUUUACUUUGAAAAAAUUAGAGUGUUCAAAGCAGGCCCACGCAUUGAAUACAUUAGCAUGGAAUAAUGGAAUAGGACUUUGGUCUUAUUUUGUUGGUUUCUAAGGCCGAGGUAAUGAUUAAUAGGGAUAGUUGGGGGCGUUUAUAUUCCAUUGUCAGAGGUGAAACUCUUGGAUUUAUGGAAGAUAAACUACUGCGAAAGCAUUCGCCAAGGAUGUUUUCAUCA